UUUUUUUAAUGCCACAUGUCACGUUUUGAUUGGCCAUUAAAUAAACUUGACCCGAAAUCAUUUCUCACCCAAAUUCCGACCCAACCCGACCUACCCGACCCAAAAAAGGUUAACGGAGGGCAAUUUUGUUCCGGAGUCAAUACGUUGAGGGCAGUUUUGACCCUUAACCGUUCAUUUUUAGCCCUGCAAAAUCUAACAUUUUAUUUUUAAUUUUUUUUAAUGCCACAUGUCACGUUUUGAUUGGCCAUUAAAUAAACUUGACCCGAAAUCAUUUCUCACCCAAAUUCCGACCCAACCCGACCUACCCGACCCAAAAAAGGUUAACGGAGGGCAAUUUUGUUCUGAAGUCAAUACGUUGAGGGCAGUUUUGACCCAUAACCGUUCAUUUUUAGCCCUGCAGAUUUCUGUAAUUCGUCAGUGAUUCCAGAAAGGAAUAAUCAUUAGUCACUAGCUGUAAAAUCAGAUUUUUUGUGGCUUCAACUGGAAAUUAUUUAACUUCCAAAAAUCUAGCAAAAACAGAAAAAAAAUCCAUUUAAUAGGAUUAUGUAUUUCGGCUGAUUUGACCAGAUUCUAUUAUAUUACUUUUUAAUUAAGGGCGAUGAAUGAAAUUCGCGGCCUAAAGUUAAACUUUAAUAAUAAACCUUAAACGUAAGGAUUUUAAUGGCCUCAUCCUAGAGCCGGCCCUACUUAUAAUUAAUGGGUUUUCUCAAUUUUAAUCCAUAUUUAUUUCUUAUAACAAAGUCGCUUUCUAUUAGAUUUUCACAUACUUCAAUUAAUUUACUAUCGAUGAUCAAUA
rnacentral:lncRNA from 1 species